rnacentral:rRNA from 1 species
GAUGAACGCUAGCGGGAGGCCUAACACAUGCAAGCCGAGCGGUAGAGAUUCUUCGGAAUCUUGAGAGCGGCGUACGGGUGCGGAACACGUGUGCAACCUGCCUUUAUCAGGGGGAUAGCCUUUCGAAAGGAAGAUUAAUACCCCAUAAUAUAUUUGAUGGCAUCAUUAGUUAUUGAAAGCUUUGGCGGAUAGAGAUGGGCACGCGCAAGAUUAGAUAGUUGGUGAGGUAACGGCUCACCAAGUCGAUGAUCUUUAGGGGGCCUGAGAGGGUGAUCCCCCACACUGGUACUGAGACACGGACCAGACUCCUACGGGAGGCAGCAGUGAGGAAUAUUGGACAAUGGGUUAGCGCCUGAUCCAGCCAUCCCGCGUGAAGGACGACGGCCCUAUGGGUUGUAAACUUCUUUUGUACAGGGAUAAACCUACUCUCGUGAGAGUAGCUGAAGGUACUGUACGAAUAAGCACCGGCUAACUCCGUG